GACGAACGCUGGCGGCGUGCUUAACACAUGCAAGUCGAGCGAUGAAGCUCCUUCGGGAGUGGAUUAGCGGCGGACGGGUGAGUAACACGUGGGUAACCUACCUCAUAGAGGGGAAUAGCCUUCCGAAAGGAAGAUUAAUACCGCAUAAGGUUGUAGUUCCGCAUGGGACAGCAAUUAAAGGAGUAAUCCGCUAUGAGAUGGACCCGCGUCGCAUUAGCUAGUUGGUGAGGUAACGGCUCACCAAGGCGACGAUGCGUAGCCGACCUGAGAGGGUGAUCGGCCACAUUGGGACGGAGACACGGCCCAGACUCCUACGGGAGGCAGCAGUGGGGAAUAUUGCACAAUGGGGGAAACCCUGAUGCAGCAACGCCGCGUGAGUGAUGACGGUCUUCGGAUUGUAAAACUCUGUCUUUGGGGACGAUAAUGACGGUGCCCAAGGAGGAAGCCACGGCUAACUACGUGCCAGCAGCCGCCGUAAAAC
rnacentral:rRNA from 1 species